UACAGAGGGGGCAAGCGUUAUUCGGAAUUAUUGGGCGUAAAGGGUGCGUAGGCGGCGCGGUAAGUCGGGUGUGAAAUUUCGAGGCUUAACUUCGAAACUGCAUUCGAUACUGCCGUGCUUGAGGACUGGAGAGGAGACUGGAAUUUACGGUGUAGCGGUGAAAUGCGUAGAUAUCGUAAGGAAGACCAGUGGCGAAGGCGGGUCUCUGGACAGUUCCUGACGCUGAGGCACGAAGGUCAGGGGAGCAAACGGG
rnacentral:rRNA from 1 species